UGUUUUUGAAUUGGAGAGGGCAGGAGGUGGAAAGGGCUUGGAUUUGCGGUUGGAAGGAAAGGGCAGAAUCCAAGGUCACUCCAAGGCAGCAGACUUUGUUGACCGGGGAGAGUGUGCAGCCAUUGAUCAUGAUAGAUAGGUCUGUUGGGG